GACGUAGGGCGCGAGCGUUGUCCGGAUUUAUUGGGCGUAAAGAGCUCGUAGGCGGCUCGUUGCGUCGGCUGUGAAAACCCGCAGCUCAACUGUGGGCUUGCAGCCGAUACGGGCGGGCUAGGAUUCGGUAGGGGAGACUGGAAUUCCUGGUGUAGCGGUGAAAUGCGCAGAUAUCUGGAGGAACACCGGUGGCGAAGGCGGCAUCCUGGACCGGCAUUGACGCUGAGGAGCGAAAGCCAGGGGAGCAAAGCGG
rnacentral:rRNA from 1 species